UAUUGUAUGACUUCAUCUUUUAUACAGUCGGGUUCGGGGUUUCGGGCAGCCAUGGCGAAUUUCGGCAAAGAUUUUACCCCAGUGAAAAAGGCUUGUAAUCCACAGUGAUCAGCUAAGAUGUUGUUUCACUGGAUUAUUUAAUUGGGCAUAUAAUUGGAUAAUUCUGGAUCAGCUGAGAUGUAAUCAAUCACUGGAUUAUUUAAUGCAUAGGCUAAUUGGGCAUAUAGUUGAAUAUCUCUGUCCUCAACCUGGAAGAUAUGUAUUGUUCCUAACCAUCUAUAAUCCAUUCUCUAUGAAGUUCAGACUGUCUGCUCUUCCUUUGGAAAUACACAGUUAGUCAACCAACAUAGAAACACACAAACUUGAAGGGAAAGAAUACUAUAAUGUAGCACAUCAGGAUGACCAGAAAAGAAAUCUUAAUGACCCUCUUGACUAUGUAUAAAGAUUGUAACCUUAUAACUGAUGUAAGAUGAUCUGAUUGUGUGGAAAUAAAAUUUCCUGGUGUUUCUACUACCCAAGAUCUUCUUAUGAGUGUAUGGGACUGUUGUAAACCUUAUCCUGUUUAUAAAAAUAAUACCUUGGAGCAUGACACUUUAUUCAUAAAAGGUACUUUCAAUAUCAUUUCUAUGAGUUUGUGUUCUUUCUUUUUAAUAAUGUAGUAAUGAAUCCAAGUGUUAUA